UGGGGAAUAUUGCACAAUGGGCGCAAGCCUGAUGCAGCCAUGCCGCGUGUGUGAAGAAGGCCUUCGGGUUGUAAAGCACUUUCAGCGGGGAGGAAGGCGAUAAGGUUAAUAACCUUGUCGAUUGACGUUACCCGCAGAAGAAGCACCGGCUAACUCCGUGCCAGCAGCCGCGGUAAUACGGAGGGUGCAAGCGUUAAUCGGAAUUACUGGGCGUAAAGCGCACGCAGGCGGUCUGUCAAGUCGGAUGUGAAAUCCCCGGGCUCAACCUGGGGACUGCAUUCGAAACUGGCAGGCUAGAGUCUUGUAGAGGGGGGUAGAAUUCCAGGUGUAGCGGUGAAAUGCGUAGAGAUCUGGAGGAAUACCGGUGGCGAAGGCGGCCCCCUGGACAAAGACUGACGCUCAGGUGCGAAAGCGUGGGGAGCAAACAGG
rnacentral:rRNA from 1 species